ACCUACAAAAAAAAGAUAAAAGCUAUUAAAAAUGGUGAAGCCAUCGGUGAUGACUUGCUAGGAUUGCUGUUGGAGUCAAAGACACGGGAAUCCAAUGGGAAAGCAGAUCUAGGAAUGAGUACCGAAGAAAUAAUCCAGGAAUGCAAGCUAUUUUACUUCGCAGGUAUGGAGACAACAUCAGUCUUGCUCACAUGGACACUAAUUCUGCUCAGCAUGCACCCAGAGCGGCAAGAGAAUGCAAGAGAUGAAAUGUUGCACUAUUUUGGAAGAACCGCACCUGAUUUCGAGCACUUGAGUCGCCUGAAGAUUGUAACAAUGAUUGACAUAGAGGCCUGGAUCUAGGUGCGCCUCCUCUCCCCCUUUGUUACACAAAGCUUUGCGUACAAUGCCUCCUGUAGAGUGAGCUAGCAUGGCAUGGACCAGGGAUUGGGGAGUACAACAUGGAAGAGAGAAUAUUCGGAGAGAAGCA